rnacentral:lncRNA from 1 species
CCAAAACGACGUCGUUUUGGCCAGGUUAAAAAAAUAAAAAAGUAAAAAAAAACAGCGCCUUUUUGAAAGCCUGGUCCAAAAUGACGUCGUUUUGGCCAGGCUGUGUUGAAAAAAAAACAAGCGCACGCGCCCAAUUUGGUUUGGGCAUUUUGUCGAGCAUGUUGCGUGCAUCUCUGGUAUGAAGCAGAGGUGCAACUCUAGCUGCUCUAAUGGACUUUUUCGACGACCGGAGGUGCAGAUGCACCUCCUUGCGCCUGCACAGGUCCGCCACUGGGCGUGAGUAAGCUUUAAAUUCUGCGUUUUGGGGAGAAAAGAUAACAUG